rnacentral:rRNA from 1 species
UACGUAGGUGGCAAGCGUUGUUCGGAAUUAUUGGGCGUAAAGAGCUCGUAGGCGGUUCGGUAAGUCGGGUGUGAAAACUCUGGGCUCAACCCAGAGACGCCACCCGAUACUGCUGUGACUUGAGUCUGGUAGGGGAGCACGGGAUUCCUGGUGUAGCGGUGAAAUGCAUAGAUAUCAGGAGGAACACCGGUGGCGAAGGCGGUGCUCUGGGCCAGUACUGACGCUGAAGAGCGAAAGCGUGGGGAGCGAACAGG